CAUAACUAUAAAUUUUAUUAUUCUUGUUUUGUUUUAAAAUUGACUACGUAAAUUAUACCUUGUACUUAAUUUUAUGUAGAAAGCAGAGCUAGGUAAUGAUUCUAUAUUUUUUGAUCUAUUCAUCAAGACACAUGGUACUGCUGAUUUAAAGAAAAUAUACUUUCACGAUGAUCGUGAAAAUAUGGAAUAUUGUUCAUAGACCGCCAAAGAAGCAAAAGAUGCAUAUUUGCAGGGGUUACUAAACAAAUAUAGUGAAGAUCCAGUAAACCACAAGGAUGAUGUAGAGGUAUCGGCUGAAAUCCAUCUUCGGAGAAAAGCAGGAAAAAAGAAGGGUGCUACCUACAGUAUAUGAGCAUAAGAUGUUAAGUUUGUGGUUUUUGGGACACCGUCUUCCUAGUCUACCUAGUCCACAAUCUACCCAAUCAGACAACACACAACAAGAGAAGGUUGAAGGGAAGAAGAAGGAGCUUGGGAUUUCAGAAGGAGCAAGGAGAUCCAGAGAUUUUGCUUCAUUUCCUAUUUAUUGGAGGUACCUCUUCAUCCAAGGGGAAGGAGCCGGUGGUGUAGCAACGCAUCACACAUUUAUACAUGAUUUCUGCAAAGAAUUUUCUAGGAUUGUACUCUGAUUUAUACUAUUGUUCGAUGUUUGAUUUUGAGACAUGUUCAUGAUGGUUUAUGGAUUGAUAUGAUAUUGAAAAUGUUUUCAGUAAACGAUUUUGUAAAUUACUUAAUUACUAACGAAAUUUUUGGACUCGAAAUUUGGGAUGUUACAAGUUGGUAUCAGAGCCUUGGUUUGAGGGAUUCGGACCCACCUUCGGGGUGUCUGAACUCAAAUCGAGGGAUUGAAGGAUUUUUACAAGAAAAAUAGUUUUCUAAAAUCUAAGUUAAAGAAUUUUGACAAAAAAAAACGAGGUGUGUGAUGUGUGCGACCGACCGAGCUCAAGUAAGUUCUCCUUAAGAUACCCAUACUUGUCACGUUAUGUUAUAUGAUAUGAUUAUGAGAACUGCAUGCUAGAUUAGGGCUAAGGAUCUAGGAAGAUUCCUUGUAUGCCUGUUAUAUGAUCCUGAUAACUGCAUGCUAGAAUAGAACUAAGGAUCUAGGAAGGAGGCCUUAUAUGCCUGUUGUAUGAGCUUAUUGAGCUGUAUGCUAGGGCUGUUAGUCAAUAGUAUGAAAGCCUAGUUAGGUUAUGCUUGAUUUGGUCACUCGAUGCCCGAAUGCUACUUUGCAUUGUGCUAUAAGGGUUCUGGCCAACUUUAACUAACUAGUAGGCGAAUAUGUAAUAGUAUUCGCAAGCUAGUUAGGGAAAGGUGGUAGGGACUCCUAGUGCAGUUGAUGGCGGAGAGUAGGUCGAAGGGUGUCAUAGGAAACCCUAGGAUGAGAUUAGUUGGGAAGUUGUAUUAGUAGAAAGGGACUUGGUGAAGUCAAGGAAGUUCUUGAGGAAAGUACGGAUAGAUGUGAAAGGUAGUAUGGGCCCGUACUACUGGAAGCAUAGGAUCCGUACUCGAAUCAAGGAAGGCUGAGAUAGAACCAGGAAACUUGGAGAGUGUGUGAGAUCUCUCGAGAGUAUGUAUGACCCUGACAUCAUUGUGUUUGUUUUCAAUAUGGCGAUUACGCGACAUGGAGCAGGAUCUGGGUCAGGAUCAGAGUUAGGCUCGAGUGCAUGAUCUGAGCUGGUUGAUGACGGGCUACGCGAGUUCAUCGCGUCUAAGAUCACGAGAGGUAUCCUUGAGGCGAACCUGGUUAUUAUGGUUUGAAACUUAAGAAGUUAGUUCUUAUUAUGGAUAAAAUUGAUUAAAAACAAAAGUACAUUGCUAUUAUGGUUUAAAAGUUAGUUAGUUUGUUGUUAUAUUGAUUAAAUUG